GGAAAGCUCUUAGCUCAGCAGUAGAGCGUUUCCUUGCAUGGAGAAGGUCCCAGGUUCAAUCCCUGGCAUCUCCA